rnacentral:lncRNA from 1 species
GUGAGUGUACCAGUUUGUAAUUAUACUGGAUAAUGGCAUCUGAAGAAAGAUCUACACAAAGGAUGUGUUUAUUUUUUAUUAUUGAAUACAGCUUAGUCUCCCUUUAUUUCCCAUUUGCUGAUUCUUAAGCUGUUCUAGUCUUCUUACCUUUGUGUAAAAACCAGGAUAUUGAAAUUUAAUAGACACGGAAAGGUGGGCAUAUUGGUAGACGGGUAGAGACUGUUUGGAUAGAUAGGAUUCUAGAACUUGGUAAACUAAGUUUCUUAGUUCUUAUUGUCUUUCUUGAUGAAAAAUUUGAAAUUUCAAUAUAGCAGCAGAAUAAAUAGGCAUCUGACCUUGUGUGUGACAAUUUAUACAGCAUAUUUCAUGUUUCUAUAAGUUCUGUUAAUACUUCCAAGUUUUGUUUUCUUAAAACCUCUGGAAAACAAGGGAGGAGGUUAUGAUCACUUCCAACUCUUAAUGUUUAUGACUAUCAUUCCCAUCAGAAUACUGCAACUUUCUAAAAAAAAUGUUCUCUCUACCUCCAGGAUUAGCCAUCUCCAAUUCUAUUCUCAAUACUGCAGUGAGGCUGAAUUUCUUUUAUACCAAUCUGAAUUAUGCUGCUGUCCUGCUUAUAAAAAAAGUCAAGACUACACAAUUUAACAUGAUAUGCACUUAAUAAUCUGGACCUUGUCUUCUUCUUCAGCCUCAUCAUCAGCCCCCACCCCAUACUCUCUCUCAUAAUCAGGUCUGUGCAUAUGCUGGAACCUCCUGUUUGGAAUAUUCUUCAUUCCUUUGGCAUUUUCUGAUUCUGCAUGCUCAGCUAAUUCCUAAACCACUUUUAGAUCAUGGUUUAGACCUUUUUCCAAGAAACUUUGCCCACUCCUAAAUUCAAGCUAAGUAUCCUUCUGAGGUGCUCCCAUGGCUCCCUGUACAUCCUCGACCAUGACAUUCGACAUGCAAUAUUGUAACUAUUUGCUUUGUCUCUAGUCUCCAUCCAAUUGUAAACUCAGAGAAAGCAGGUACUCAAUCUGCUUAUCUUCACAAUCUGGCAGAAUAACAGGUAUAUGAUACAACAACGCUUUAUAACUAGUUGUUGAAAGAUAAAAAGACUCCUAAAAAAGAUAAAUAAAAAAUAACUCCUAAAGUAAGACUUCAACUUUGCAAAAACCCCACUUUUUUUGUUGUUGUUCUUGGUUUUUUUCUUCCCUCUCUUCUUUCCUUCCCUGCUUUUUAAAGUGUUAAGACACUUAAUUGAUUGAUAGCUAAACAGACACUUAGAGAUUGAUUUUUUUUUUUUUCUAAACUAUGUAGCAUCAAUCUUAGAAACUGGAGACCUUUCUUAAAAAGCAAAAGCAAGUUUCUGGGCAUAUUUAUGUUUUAUAUGCAUAGAUAGUGAGUGAUUUUCUUCUCUAACAUUUACCAUUGUUAUCAUUGUAGAUAAUCACCCAUGUUGUUUUGUAACAUCAGCAUGAUUAUUUGCUCAAUAAUCAAGGGAAAAAUAUUUAAGUUACUCCUUAGAGGAGUUUUCCAUUUCACUUUUGUGAGUUAUAUUUACUCCUUACAAAAUAUGAACAGCUUUUACAUUUUUCCUGUUUUUUUCCCCCUCAAUUUCAUUGAAAAGCUUUUUUUGAAAAAUCUUUGCUCUGAUUUUCUUGUGAAUAUUCGUAUGUCAGAAAAAGUUAAAAUGCAUGUACUACUCAGGUCAUAAGAAGAUACUUUCUUGGUUAAAGGGAUGAAUUCUAAAAAGCUGCCAUGUGGAAAUCUCUUUCUACUCCCAGUUACAGCAAAUAUAGGACCUACCAUUUAAAGUCAUUUCUAAGUAGUAUUUUUACCCCAUGGAGAACAAGCAGAGCUGCAUAUCUGUUUUGACAGGAAUACAAUAUGAUUGCAUUGGCUCUCCAAAAAAAUGUUUGGUGUUUCUCAUGAAUUUUAAAGCCUUUAGAGAAAACUAUGAUAGCUAUCCAUUGACUAUUUUGCUACUAUAUUAUUAAAGAAAAGCCAAUUUUUAAUUUACCAGUUAAAGCUGCAUAAAACCCAUCACAUCAGCAUGGACAUAACUGUUAUGCUGCUCAGAAACUCUAAUUCAUGUUUUUGAAUAGCGUAACAUGAAGAAAACAAAACAACUAUUUCUAAAUAGGAAUACAGUUUGGUGGUGAAUUUUAAAACAUAAGUUUUCUGAGGGAGGGGGUUAGUAAAAGUUUAAUGGCAAAAAGUUAUAAGCCACUGCUGUCUAUAAAUAAAUCAUAAAAACAACAAAACUCCUCAUAAGUUGGUAAAUUUCAUAGAAAAAUGUGAUGUUAAACUUUAUAUAUAUUUGACAAGAGCAAAUCAUGUAAGUAGGUUUCAUCUAGAAUAAGUAAUGUUCGGUAAAUUGGAUAUAUCAGGAUUUGAUGUAUUAAGAGCAGUUUUCAAAGAUGAUAGAAGCUACAGUGUAUGCCUUAACAACUCUUUACAAUGCCAUUUAAAUAUUUUGUUCUUAUAUAUCCAAAUGUUGACCAUGAUAUUGAUGUCACAUGGCAGAGUUAAUAAUUUAAUUUUCUUUAAAACAGUGGACAGGGUUAAGCUUUCUCAGCUGCUUAAUUCACAUUUCUCUAAAAGUCCUUUGUCAGUUAAAGCUUUCAACCAGCUAAAAGUAAUGCUUUCCCCAUCUCUGUGAGUGGAAAGAAAGCAAACACGCAUGUUUAACAGUAAGGUCAGCAUGACAUAAAGCAACAAGAGCCAGUAAAUUGAAAAUGAGGCUGACAUUCUGGGACUAAUCCAGCAGCCGUGUAGCACUUUUCCAAACUCCACAGCUGCAUGAGGCUGUGAACCAGCCUGGGCGCAGCCUACAGGCAUGAGCCCCAAGCGCUGCCUUGGAAUGUGAUGAACUCCAAGAAGAGAAGCAGAUCCCUUCCUGUUUCCCUUUGCUUUGGCUAUAGGAUAUUUAGAUAAUGUACCUGUUAAAUCACUGUUACUAUGAACUACUGUUAUUUAACACCAAUGUCUCCCUCUCCUCAAUUCUCAGAUCUUCUCUAAUGACAGGGAGAACAAAUUAUUAAAACUACUCUUGGCUUCUUUUUCUCAAUUUUUUAAGGUCCCACUGUUUCAGGCCUUCCUCUAGAGGUAUGGGUUUUUUUGGCCCUGGGUAACUAGUCGUCUGUAGGGCAUUUUCCUGAGCUUAAAUAGGGAGGUGAUCCAAGCUGAAUGCAAUUAUCUAUGCCCAGUUCUUAUUUUUGAUUCAUGUUAUGGAUGUACAUCAAUCCAGGUUGGUUUGGAUUCUAUAAUAUGAGGUGAGUAGUCAUUUAUUUUACUGCUUUUUAUUCAGUUUUUGGGUUUGAUCAGGACCAGGGAGUAUGGAAUAUGGUACAUUAAUAGGUCAUGGAUGCUAGGUGGAGAUAGACUGUCUUUUCCAACAAACUUUGAGUAUGGAAGAUACAGGGAAUUGAGAGAAAUCAAGUGAUUUUUCUCUUCAUUAAAAUCAUGACUUAGUCUAGUGUGGGUAAGCAGUUUAGGACCUGGCAAAUUUAUGAGAUUAUCUGGCUAUGUAUUUCCUGUAAAAUUUAAGAGAUGUGGAAAUUCCCCAUAUCUAAUGGGUAUUUAAAAGGUAUGCUUUGAGGAAAAGAAAGUUAUGCCCUUCCUUGGGUUAUCUGCUAGUCCAUUUAACUUUAUCACUGGACACAUGGUUGUUAAGUUCCUGAAUACAAAAAUGAGAUAUCUUUAAUUCGAAAAAAGAACUUUUUUUUUGAGUUUUGUGUGUUUAUACACAAUGCUUUGUAGAUUGUAAAGAUAUUUAAAAGGUUUCAUAUUCAAUCCUGAAAUCUGGUGUGUAAAAAGUAAGUGUACAUGAGAGAAAAUGCUCAGGUAUUCACAGCAAAAACUCUAGAAAUUUAAUAACUAUCUCUCCAAAGAAAUGCAAGAUUAAGGCAGACAUGAAGAUUUCUUCUGGGCAUUUUGUAUCAUAGCCUUAGAGAUAGGAAUGUUAUUUAGGGGGCUGAUGACUUCAUCAUGAUUUCUAGACCCACUGUUCCAUUUUGCAGAAUUAUUACCACAGUAAAAAUAAUCUGAGCAUGUAGUAUAUAGCAUAUAUUUUUGGAACAGCUGUGUUUUAGACAAGUUCUCUAUAUUUUAAAAAAUAUAGAAAUAUAUUUUUUUAAAAAGUCAAAAUCAGUACCAUUAUUUUGAAUAUUUUAAUGAAAAUGUGAUAGGUUCUUUAGAUUUUUGACAAAGCAGGCCUCAAACUCGAAAAACUGUAUUUUUUUCAGGGGAAGAAAUUAAGUGAAUACUUUGAGCUCUAAUUUCAAAUCAAAUCAAAUAUUCAUAUGUACAUAGAUAUAGCAAUAAAGCAACUGCAUUUUCUAGAUUCUGAACACCUGUAUACGUUCUCAUUUUCAUUUCUAUUAAUCAGAAAACCAUUGGUAUAGGCAGACUUAAUCAGAAAGGUUGAUGUCUUGUUCAAGCUCAUCCAGUAAAUAGCAGAGAGGUAGAGCAGAGGUCUGGCUCAGCUCUCUGCACAGUACUCAUAGUCAAAUAUAUCACCGUAGCUGUGGACAAUUUAAAAGUUAUAGGUUGACAUGCUAUGGCUAUUCAAAAGGCAUUGUUUUCACAAAAAACUUAUUGCCUACCAUAUUUGCAUAUCAUCUGUGUAGCAACAAAUUAUUUUAAUGUUAAAUGUGAAAAAUAAUAGUACUGCCUAAUUUAAAAGUGCCAUGUGUUUUUGUUUUUUCUUUCGGCAUGCCCGUGGCAUGCAGAAGUUCCCAGGCCAGGAACCAUACAUAUGCCAUAGCAGUGACCCAAGCUGCUGCAGUGACCACAAUGGAUCUUUAACGUGCUGCACUCCAUAGAAUUCCAGCCAUUUUUUUUGAAAAUAAAAACACAACUGUUAUAUACUAAUUGAUAUUGGAGGAUUAACUGCUUCUUAAAUCUUUUUAAGGGAAAUAUUUUUAUUAAGUCAAUAAUCUAUUUUAGUAACCUU